rnacentral:rRNA from 1 species
UACGUAGGCAGCAAGCGUUGUUCGGAAUUACUGGGCGUAAAGAGUGUGUAGGCGGUGCUCUAAGUCUGUUGUGAAAUCUCCCGGCUUAACCGGGAGGGUGCGGCGGAAACUGGAGGGCUUGAGGGUGGGAGAGGUAAGCGGAAUUCCUGGUGUAGCGGUGAAAUGCGUAGAUAUCAGGAGGAACACCUGUGGUGUAGACAGCUUACUGGACCACUUCUGACGCUGAGACACGAAAGCGUGGGUAGCAAACAGG